rnacentral:rRNA from 1 species
GCAAGUCGAACGCACUCUUCGGAGUGAGUGGCAGACGGGUGAGUAACGCGUGGGAAUGUGCCUAUCGGUACGGAAUAGCUCCGGGAAACUGGAAUUAAUGCCGUAUACGCCCUUCGGGGGAAAGAUUUAUUGCCGAUAGAUCAGCCCGCGUUAGAUUAGCUAGUUGGUGAGGUAAAAGCUCACCAAGGCUACGAUCUAUAGCUGGUCUGAGAGGAUGAUC